GAUGAACGCUGGCGGCGUGCUUAACACAUGCAAGUCGAACGGAAAGGCCCAAGCUUGCUUGGGUACUCGAGUGGCGAACGGGUGAGUAACACGUGGGUGAUCUGCCCUGCACUUCGGGAUAAGCCUGGGAAACUGGGUCUAAUACCGGAUAGGACGAUGGUUUGGAUGCCAUUGUGGAAAGUUUUUUCGGUGUGGGAUGAGCUCGCGGCCUAUCAGCUUGUUGGUGGGGUAAUGGCCUACCAAGGCGUCGACGGGUAGCCGGCCUGAGAGGGUGUACGGCCACAUUGGGACUGAGAUACGGCCCAGACUCCUGCGGGAGGCAGCAGUGGGGAAUAUUGCACAAUGGGCGCAAGCCUGAUGCAGCGACGCCGCGUGGGGGAUGACGGCCUUCGGGUUGUAAACUCCUUUCGCUAGGGACGAAGCGUUUUGUGACGGUACCUGGAGAAGAAGCACCGGCUAACUACGUG
rnacentral:rRNA from 1 species